UUUUCUCCGUGAACUUCAGAUGUACAAUGUAAUAUUUCAAACUUAGGUGAAAACCGAUUUCUCUGCCUCCAGCUUUGGUUGCAGUCCGAGUCUGAGGAAAAGUCGUCAUCUUCUUGAAGAAAGCGUCCAUAGUGGAAGCCGGUCAGGCCCUGAGUCCUUUCACCGUCAACUCUGACGGCUGCGUUUGGCCUGCUCAGAAAGAACGAGAGUUGAAAAGACGCAAGAAUUGCCAGUUCUGGGAAGAAGAGGUGUUUUCACAACAAAACAGACAAAGAAUCAUAAAGACUUGAAGAAACGAUACUUCCCAAAUUCCUUCCAGUUCAGAGACCCACCAAAGUCUGGUGGAUCAUCUCCACCAGUCUACCUGAUCUGAGGCUUCAAAGUAUAACACGUAAAGGCCUACAUUAACUCUUCUGGAUAUGCCUUUAACCUAACGAGCACCAAUCCAUUUCACCUCUGAAAGAACUGAUUAAUUGACUCAGAGUCCUGCGAAGGUCGUUAGCUCCUCUCAGGGUCGCAGACACUGAAGCUGCCGCAAGCGGAGCCCAACUCGGAGCAAGCGGAGGGCCGCAGGCAUGUUUUGGCGUCGUUUCUUAAGUAAAUAGCUCCUCAGCAGCCCCGUGCUUUCGUUGUUGAGUGGGAGGCAUUACGUAGUGCCCCUCGCUGCGGCCCUGCGCGGGGGUUCGCCCGUAUCCCUGUGCUUGAG
rnacentral:lncRNA from 1 species